rnacentral:rRNA from 1 species
UACGUAGGGUGCAAGCGUUAAUCGGAAUUACUGGGCGUAAAGCGUGCGCAGGCGGCUUUGCAAGACAGAUGUGAAAUCCCCGGGCUUAACCUGGGAACUGCAUUUGUGACUGCAUGGCUGGAGUGCGGCAGAGGGGGAUGGAAUUCCGCGUGUAGCAGUGAAAUGCGUAGAUAUGCGGAGGAACACCGAUGGCGAAGGCGGCGACCUGGACAGUUACUGACACUCAACUACGAAAGCGUGGGGAGCAAACAGG